rfam:Triticum aestivum genome assembly, contig: Triticum_aestivum_CS42_TGACv1_scaffold_392634_5AS
UAUGUACUCCCUCCGUUCCAAAAUACUUGACUUCCAUUUGUCCAAAAAUGGAUGUACCUAUAUACUAAAACAUGUCUAGAUACAUAUAUAUUUUGACAAAUAGAAGGCAUGUAUUGUGCAACAGAGGGAGUAGAAU